rnacentral:rRNA from 1 species
UACGAAGGGGGCUAGCGUUGUUCGGAAUUACUGGGCGUAAAGCGCGCGCAGGCGGCUCUUCAAGUCAGGGGUGAAAGCCCAGAGCUCAACUCUGGAAUUGCCUUUGAGACUGUAGAGCUUGAGUACGGGAGAGGUGAGUGGAAUUCCCAGUGUAGAGGUGAAAUUCGUAGAUAUUGGGAAGAACACCGGUGGCGAAGGCGGCCCACUGGAUCGGUACUGACGCUGAGGUGCGAAAGCGUGGGGAGCAAACAGG